CAUUACAAGCAGCAGCAGAUAAGGUUUGCUGUUUCUUAUUCAAGCAAUUAUGAAUUUCUUUUGUUUGACAUAUUAUUAGGAUGAUCAUCAUCAUUGUUCUAUACCAUUGAUUUAAAUUUAAUACUCAUCAUUCAUGCAGUUUAAAAGGGUGGAUGUGCAGUUGGAAACAUAGAAGAAUAUUCAUUGAAUUUGAUCUUAUUUGCUUAUGUCAGGCUAUCAAUUUCUUUUUCAUCUUAUCAUAAAAACAUUUUGAGUGCCUAAAAUUUUUGAGAUUUUUUUUGAAGUACCUAAACUCUUUGUUUUUUUUGAGUAUCUAUACUGGGAAAAAAAAUUUGUGAUCAACUGCUCCUCACAUGACACACCCAC
rnacentral:misc_RNA from 1 species